CGGAGGAUCCAAGCGUUAUCCGGAAUCAUUGGGUUUAAAGGGUCCGUAGGCGGUUUGGUAAGUCAGUGGUGAAAGCCCAUCGCUCAACGGUGGAACGGCCAUUGAUACUGCCAGACUUGAAUUACUGGGAAGUAACUAGAAUAUGUAGUGUAGCGGUGAAAUGCUUAGAGAUUACAUGGAAUACCAAUUGCGAAGGCAGGUUACUACCGGUGGAUUGACGCUGAUGGACGAAAGCGUGGGUAGCGAACAGGAUUAGAUACCCUGGUAGUCCACGCCGUAAACGAUGGAUACUAGCUGUUGGUGGCAACAUCAGUGGCUAAGCGAAAGUGAUAAGUAUCCCACCGUGGGGAGUACGUUCGCAAGAAUG
rnacentral:rRNA from 1 species